ACAGCAAUAUUUGGGGUCUUCACGCAUCAGCAGAAAUGAGCGUGCCGUUACUGCAGGACUGAGGGCAAGAGCCUUUCCGAAGACCACAUGCGAGUACCAUGCUCACACAGAUGUCUGUAAGUAUAAUGUGAACUGCAGGUGAUGGUGCCUUCAACUUUUAACACACUUCUCCACUUAAACUAUUCAGGGCUCAUACUUAAACAGUAAUCCACAGCUGCUGCAAAUUGAUUUAUCCCCUGAUGACAGUCGGUUGCUGACUGAGUUGCUGGAGAGAAAGAGUUCCUUGGUUCAGAAGCCCUUACUGUUAAUCAAGAGAGGGAGAUUAGAAGAGAUCAGAACUACCAGCCUGAAGAGCACUUUGCAUUUGACUACACCUUUCUACCAGCCUUGUGUUUUUCUUCUGAUACCUCUGCAGGGAGAAGUUCUCCAGGUAAGGUUACAUCUGCAGCCUGAGCUCUCCCCUUCUAACUAAGCCAUCUCAUACUGAUUUUUGGACAGUGCAUUUUCUUCUUCUUCUUCCUUUUUUUUUUUUUUUUUUUUUUUUUUAAUCAUGCUUAAGAUUUGUCAGAGAAUCAUAGAAUCAGUUCUAAAUAGGUAUAAAUUAUAAUUGUCUCUCCAUAUCUUGCUCACCUUAGCUGAAGCCAGCAACUCAGGCAGUAAUAGGCUCUAAGCAGGACCAGGGGCUGUUGAAUUCUUCAUGUUAAAGCAAAGGCACUCAUUUUUAUCCCAAUGUGCAUUCAAAACAGGGCUUUAGCAGGCUGCCUUCCUGCAUAAGUGGGACUCAGAGUGUGAGUUAUGCAUCCAGAUCCUUAAAUACAAGAACAUGAAAUAAAAG
rnacentral:lncRNA from 1 species